rnacentral:rRNA from 1 species
CAAGCGGUGGAGCAUGUGGUUUAAUUCGAAAGCAACGCGGCAAGAACCUUUACCACCUUUUGACAUGCCCGGACCGCCACAGGAGAUGUGGGCUUUUCCUUCGGGGACUGGGACACAGGUGCUGCACGGCUGUCGUCAGCUCGUGUCGUGAGAUGUUGGGUUAAGUCCCGCAACGAGCGCAACCCUCGCUGUUAGUUGCUACCAGGUUUGGCUGGGCACUCUAACAGGACCGCCGGUGGUAAGCCGGAGGAAGGUGGGGAUGACGUCAAGUCCUCAUGGCCCUUACAGGGUGGGCUACACACGUGCUACAAUGGCGACUACAGAGGGCUGCAAUCCCGCGAGGGGGAGCCAAUCCCUAAAAGUCGUCUCAGUUCGGAUUGCACUCUGCAACUCGAGUGCAUGAAGUUGGAAUCGCUAGUAAUCGCGGAUCAGCAUACCGCGGUGAAUACGUUCCCGGGCCUUGUACACACCGCCCGUCGCACCAUGGGAGUUGGCUUUACCGAAGGC